rnacentral:rRNA from 1 species
UACGAAGGGGGCUAGCGUUGCUCGGAAUCACUGGGCGUAAAGCGCACGUAGGCGGAUCCUUAAGUCGGGGGUGAAAUCCUGGAGCUCAACUCCAGAACUGCCUUCGAUACUGAGGAUCUCGAGUCCGGGAGAGGUGAGUGGAACUGCGAGUGUAGAGGUGAAAUUCGUAGAUAUUCGCAAGAACACCAGUGGCGAAGGCGGCUCACUGGCCCGGUACUGACGCUGAGGCACGAAAGCGUGGGGAGCAAACAGG